CAGCAGCCGCGGGAAUACGUAGGUGGCAAGCGUUGUCCGGAUUUAUUGGGCGUAAAGCGAGCGCAGGCGGUCAAUUAAGUCUGAUGUGAAAGCCCCCGGCUCAACCGGGGAGGGUCAUUGGAAACUGGUUGACUUGAGUGCAGAAGAGGAGAGUGGAAUUCCAUGUGUAGCGGUGAAAUGCGUAGAUAUAUGGAGGAACACCAGUGGCGAAGGCGACUCUCUGGUCUGUAACUGACGCUGAGGCUCGAAAGCGUGGGUAGCAAACAGGAUUAGAUACCCGCGUAGUCCCUGUCUCUUAUAC
rnacentral:rRNA from 1 species